UACGUAGGGGGCAAGCGUUGUCCGGAAUCAUUGGGCGUAAAGCGCGUGUAGGCGGCUGACUAAGUCCGCUCUGAAAGCCCGGGGCUCAACCCCGGGAGGCGGGUGGAUACUGGUCAGCUGGAGUCCGGAAGAGGAGUGUGGAAUUCCUGGUGUAGCGGUGAAAUGCGCAGAUAUCAGGAGGAACACCAAUGGCGAAGGCAGCACUCUGGGACGGUACUGACGCUGAGACGCGAAAGCGUGGGGAGCAAACAGG
rnacentral:rRNA from 1 species